rnacentral:rRNA from 1 species
UACGAAGGGGGCUAGCGUUGUUCGGAAUUACUGGGCGUAAAGCGCGCGCAGGCGGUCUUCCAAGUCAGUGGUGAAAGCCUGGAGCUCAACUCCAGAACUGCCAUUGAAACUGUUAGACUUGAGUACGAGAGAGGAGACUGGAAUUCCGAGUGUAGAGGUGAAAUUCGUAGAUAUUCGGAAGAACACCAGUGGCGAAGGCGACUUACUGGACACGUAUUGACGCUGAGGUGCGAAAGCGUGGGGAGCAAACAGG